GCAAACCAAGAUGGAGUAUGAGUGGAAACCUGACGAGCAAGGGCUUCAGCAGAUUCUGCAGCUGCUCAAGGAGUCCCAGUCCCCAGACACCACCAUCCAGAGGACCGUGCAACAAAAACUGGAACAACUUAAUCAAUAUCCAGAUUUUAACAACUACUUAAUUUUUGUUCUUACAAAAUUAAAAUCUGAAGAUGAGCCCACACGGUCAUUGAGCGGUCUGAUCUUGAAGAACAAUGUGAAAGCUCAUUUUCAGAACUUCCCGAACGGUGUGACGGACUUCAUCAAG
rnacentral:lncRNA from 1 species